UACGAAGGGUGCAAGCGUUACUCGGAAUUACUGGGCGUAAAGCGUGCGUAGGUGGUUUGUUAAGUCUGAUGUGAAAGCCCUGGGCUCAACCUGGGAAUUGCAUUGGAUACUGGCAGGCCAGAGUGCGGUAGAGGGUAGUGGAAUUCCCGGUGUAGCAGUGAAAUGCGUAGAGAUCGGGAGGAACACCAGUGGCGAAGGCGACUACCUGGACCAGCACUGACACUGAGGCACGAAAGCGUGGGGAGCAAACAGG
rnacentral:rRNA from 1 species